GGUACUGGAACCUAACUGCAGGGGUCUCCAGUUCUGCCAGAGCAUGACAUACAUGGCCUCAAGUCCAGGUUCUGACAGUCCUGAUUCCCACCUAAAACCUCCUGAGUCUGAACUUUGCUGUCUGCAUUCAUAUGAGGAUCAUGGUUUUCUGAGCUCUGACCAGAAUCACCUGUCAAGCUCAGCUUUCAGCAUUCUAGGGCUUCUCUACUUGACAUUUCCAGACCUUUCCAAACUCCUAUAGACCAGUUCCAAGGGCUUCUAAACCUACAGUCAUAGCAACAAUAGUACUUCUCCAGUUCCAAUUUUCUUUAGAAGUCAUUUUACCAUCACUUGGACAAAAUACUUGACACCUGCAGCUUAGAAGUUUAUUUUUAGUUCACAGUUCAGUGGAUUCAGCCCAUGGUUGGUGACUCACUCCAAAGCAGAAACAUCAUGGUGGAAGGGCCUGGUAGAGGAAGGAUGCUCACCUCAUGGCAGCCAGGAAACAAGAGAGGACCUGGGAUUGAACUGGGAUCCUUGUGCUUGCACACCGGGCGGCGAAACCACUGAGCUAAAUUCCCGGACCCCAAUCACCUUUCAAUAGCCC
rnacentral:lncRNA from 1 species